rnacentral:lncRNA from 1 species
UUCCUGCUUUCCUGACCCUCUCCGCCAUUUAAAGAAACAGUACCGGGGGCGGGCCGAGCGACGCAGCCGGGACGGUAGCUGCGGUGCGGACCGGAGGAGCCAUCUUGUCUCGUCGCCGGGGAGUCAGGCCCCUAAAUCGAAGAAGCCCUGGCGCGCCCUCCCCCCCUCCCGGGUCUGGUAGGGCGAAGGAACGGGCGUGCGGUCGAUCGAGCGAUCGGUUGGCGGCUCUUUCUCCUGCUCUGGCAUCCAGCUCUUGGGGCGCAGGCCCGGCCGCCGCGGCGCGCGCCCGGUGGCCGUUGGCGCUCGCGCCGCGUCUUUCUUCUCGUACGCAGAACUCGGGCGGCGGCCUAUGCGUUUGCGAUUCGACGAGGAGUCGUCCGGGUGGUCGGCGGCGGCGGGCAGCUGCUCCGCCCCGCUCCGGGGGAGGCGGCGGCGGCAGCGGCCGCGGGAUUUGGAGCGGCCGGGGAGGCGGGGGUGGCCGGGGCCGGCUUGGAGGCCUGGCGCCACCCUUCGGGGCCUGCAAGGACCCAGUUGGGGGGGCAGGAGGGGGCCGGAGGAUGGUUGGUUGUGGGAUUUCUACUUUGCCUUUUCCUCCUUAUGCCGCCUUAGUGAGGGGCGGGAGCUCUGGCGGCAGCCCCGGGGUGGGGAGACGAGCUCCGGAGUCGGAAGAGCUGGGUUUUCUUCCGGGCCUAGCCACCAGUUGGCGGAGUGACCUUAGGCGAGUCACUCUGUAAUUUGUCUGCGCCUCAGUUUCCUCCUCUGCCUAUCAAUGUGUGUGGGGUUGAAAUCGCUUUGUAAACUAUAAAGCGUGGGUGUACGUAAAGGAUGGUUAUUGUUUAUAAUUUUUUUUGAGUUGUAAGAAAACUUAGCAGUUCCCCAAUCCUUGGGUUUUGAACCUGGGAACCUUGGAUUGGAGUUGGGGAUCCCCAAACUUCCUGAAAUUGUGGGAAUGUGCGGUUUGGGGGAAUGAUGGGAAUUUGUGGGAAUGUGCGUUUUAGGGGAAUGAUGAUCCAUCGCUAGCAAGUUUUCCAAGGGGGCUGUGACCCAGAAGAGUUAAGAAUCACAAUUUCUUCAUGCUACAGAGAGGAAACUGAGGCCUAGAUGUCAUUUGGGACCCUUCACAACCAUUUUGAAGCCCUGUUUGAGUCCCUGGGAUAUGUGAGCUGUUUCUAUGCAUAAUGGAUAUUCGGGGUUAACAACAGUCCCCUGCUUGGCUUCUAUUCUGAAUCCUUUUCUUUCACCAUGGGGUGCCUGAAGGGUGGCUGAUGCAUAUGGUACAAUGGCACCCAGUGUAAAGCAGCUACAAUUAGGAGUGGAUGUGUUCUGUAGCAUCCUAUUUAAAUAAGCCUAUUUUAUCCUUUGGCCCGUCAACUCUGUUAUCUGCUGCUUGUACUGGUGCCUGUACUUUUCUGACUCUCAUUGACCAUAUUCCACGACCAUGGUUGUCAUCCAUUACUUGAUCCUACUUUACAUGUCUAGGCUGUGUGGUUGGUGGUGAAUAGGCUUCUUUUUACAUGGUGCUGCCAGCCCAGCUAAUUAAUGGUGCACGUGGACUUUUAGCAAGCGGGCUCACUGGAAGAGACUGAACCUGGCAUGGAAUUCCUGAAGAUGUUUGGGGUUUUUUUCUUUCUUAAUCGAAAGUUAACAUUGUCUGAAAAGUUUUGUUAGAACUACUGCGGAACCUCAAAAUCAGUAGAUUUGGAAGUGAUUCAAAGCUAAACUUUUUCCUUGGCCCUCCUUGUGUUCUAAUUGCUUGCAAGUGUAAUACUAGGAUGUCCAAGAUGCCAGUUUUUGCUUCUUUGUUAGUUGUCAGCUGCUUUUAUCAAAUUUCAGGCCAUUAUCCAACAAACACUAUAAAAAUGUUUGAACAAUUGGAUUUCAAACAUUUUCGUUUUGUGGAGUGGUGCUCACCAAGUGGUACAGCCCUAAGCAAGUGAACACAAACACAUUUAAGUGUAUUUUGUCUGAUUAGAUGUUAGCCAGUUAUGCUAUUUCAUUCAAAUGUCUGAAAAAAUCAAUUGACUAUUCCCUUUUCCUAAAGGGCAGAGACAGAUAAUCUCACUUCCAGAGAAAUGACUUGGAGAAAAAAAAGUGUUGGUCUUUUUGCUCUUUUGUAAUUAAAUCCGGAUGUACCUCAAAAGACUUAAGACUGUGGUGAUAAGAUGCUUUCCUCAGCAGAAAGGAGGGAAAAAAAACAACUGGAACUCAAAGCUUGAAAUUCUGUGGCAAAACAUGAGAUGUCCAGGAUUGGAGGUUGAAAAGAUUUCACUACAGUGUUCUGCAAUAGUUGGAGCAGAUAACUUUCAGUGUAGCCACAGCCAUGGACUCCAGAUUUCCAGAUUUUCAAGACCUGGACCUGGAACCCGAAAGAGCUUGUCACGAUGCGGCAGGAACACUGGAGGUAGAUUUUUUUUUAUUUUUGAAUUUUGGGACUGUUGACCUUGCUGUGAGAAAAGAGACAACGACUGAGCAAGCACUACCACCAGCACUGUUACUGGGAAUUAGAAGACCUGAGUUUCUGUCCAGACCCUCAGUGCAAACUGAGGAUGCUCCAUCCAAAGUGAAUUAUGGUCCUGUGCCUCCUGAUUGCUGAGUGUUCACCUGGACCUUCUGACUACCUUCCCUGUGCUAUUCCAUCAGCCUACAGACCUGGUACCUGGAUUUUUGCCCGAGAUGAUUCCUACCACCUUACUACUGACGAAGACACCCAUUCCAGUGGACCACUGUGACCCAGGAGGCAUUCAGCCAUCAUGAUGUGGCCUUUACCUCCACUCCUGUCUUGUUCUACCCAGAUUCAGCACAGCCCUUUAUAGUGAAGUCAGAGUCCUCAAGCCAAAUAGCUAAAGCUGUUUUAUCACAACAAAGGCCUAGUUUGUUCCAUGAGUGUGCAUUUCAUUUCUUCAGUUAAAGCCUUCAGAGACACACAAUAAAUUUGGACCAGGGGAUUUUUUAGUUAUUAAUGCUCUCUGAAGAAAGGCAACAUCUUUUUGAGAGCAGCAUUGGACCACACCCCACAAUCUCAAAUGAUUGAAAUUCAUGAACAUCUAGGAUCCCGUGAAGGUCACUGGACCCUGUUUUUUCUACUUCAAAUCCUGUAGUAGCCUACUGAAUGAGAAAACAUAUUCUGACCCAUUGGGAUCAAAUCAAAGGCACAGUGAACUCCUCAUAGCAUCUUCUUUGGAAUUACUCAGGAACCAGAACUUUUUACACAAAUGUAAGAAAUUCUACCAAGGAGUCCCCUUACCUAACAGCAUCUCACAAGGCUGCACCAGAUUCCAGAAAAGGCUUCUCUUGAUACAUCAAGGUAGAACCUCUAUGGCAUUUUGUGACCGACUUAUUCUUAGAUCAUUGGUUUUCCAAAGGCUUUGUGGCCAUGAAGCCCUUUGAGUGAAAACUGUGCAGAAGCCCAGAGUAAAAGUGAAGCUGCUCUGGAUGAAGUAGUGAAGCAAGAGUAGGGGCCUGAAUCCUGCUACAACUAUCUUCCUUUACCACCGUGGUGACACCUAAGGGGACUUCCUUACAACACCUUGAACUCUUCCGAACACAGUUUGAAAACCACUGCCCCAGACAGCAAUAUGUUUGACCUGAAUGGCAUUCCAAUCUUUUCUGUACCUCCACUCAGCACAGUUCAUGUUCAGUAGAUGCUGAACAUUCUUAGAAAUACUGUGUGUGAACUUAGAAAAGUGCAAGAAGACAGGCAUGUCUUUGACCCCAGGAAUGAUCAUUUGCUGAAGAUGGUGUCAAGUGAACCUAGAUUAACAGCCCUCCACUCCAGAUGGAUAUCCAGUGAUUCCUAGAAUGGGAUAUAGCCAGAGAACAAUUCUAUGCACCCUACACUGACAGACUCCCUUAAGCAACACCAGAUGCUCUACUGGUACUUGAAGUACAUGACUUUGAAGUCUUGACCCUCCAUGAAUACCUGAAUUAUCAGCAAGCGGGUUUUGAAGCUGGUGCCUCAUUGAGGCCAUAUUAGAGCAACUUGUACAUUUGACCUCUUGUUAUCAGCCAUGGUACUCUACUUCGUGUGCAAGAGAUAACUAUGAAAGCCAAAUUCAAAUACUGGCAACAUUUCCUAAAGGGGCUCAAUAUCUAUCAUUCGUCUUCUUUUCCAAACUACACAUCACUGUAUGACUCAACCAGUAGCAGUUAUAUUGCCCCUUGGUUUUUAUUCAGUUUAACUACUGUUUCCAAGAUAAAUGAGCUAAUAAGCUUUAAAAAAAAAAAAAAAAAAGGCUGAAUUCUUUUUUCUUCAUCACUGGCAUAUCUGCCUAUUCUCCAGAAUUAUUAUGACUAUUCAGCUCACUUUAACAGUUGAACUUCAAGCGACAAUCUUUGAACACCCCUUCUCAUGUGAUUUAAAAUGAAACCAUUUGGAAAAGUUUCUUCUAGCCAGUAAUAGAUUUUUUUUUUAAUUGCUCUGCCUUGUGCCGAGAGAUGUUCUUUUAAGAUGAAUCUUUUGAUGUCUGAUACCACCAAAUAUAGGUGGUAGGGAGAGUUGGAGGCUGGCCCUUUGAGCAGGCCAUUAGCUUACUUGCUGGGCAUUUCCGAUAGCUUAUUGCCUACCUUUUUGCUGGAAACAAACUGAUUUGAAAAACAAAAUCUAUGAAGACUGCAGCUAAGGAUUUUAUCGGUAGACUUAAGAGCUUUUGUCCUUGUGGAUAUUUUAGUGGAACCACAUCAGUCUCAAUACUGUCAUUUUACACUGACUCAGAGCAGCUGACUUCAUUCCUUGCCAUGAUAUAUAUUUAAGGCAGGCAUUGUAACAGACAUAAAGACAACUUAUCUGUUUCAGCAGGAAGGAUUCAGUUUAUGAACUCUCAGACCAGAUCAUGUUGAACAAGGAGACUUUGAUGUGUGUCAUGAGAAAACUCAUUCUUUACUUCCCAGUCAAUUUAAAGGCCAGCUAUCCUGAGCUACUCGAAUGAAUGCACUGGUUAAACAUUGGAAAUAGUUUGUUUAUAUCCUUGUCUCUCUCUAGGCCAAUUGUGAUUACAUGACUCGACUCUACAUCUCGUCAAACAAGGCCUAGGUCUGGUUGCUGUAGACUGCUCGCCCUCAACAAAUAAAAUCUGGUUGACUAGCCUCCUUGUAUAUACAACUAUUAUUUGUUAAGAAGAAAUUAUCGUCAAUUUUCUACUACCUUCCAAUUGUCAGCUCUUUUUUUCCUCUCUGGUUUUUCCUAUACUUUACAGAAAAAGACAUUGAUCUAUACUGCCAUUCCCUCUAAUCCUGCCAUACUCAGUCAAAAGGAAUGACUUAAGAUGAAGAUGAUCAUCUGCUCGAGUCUAAAAUAUACAUUGUAUAUAAGAAUUGGUGAUUAGAAAAGCAAAAAACCUAAAACUUAAAUCUAGGAGUCUGUAUACUGUCUCCAUGUCUCCAUGCCUCAGAUCUCAUCUAAAUCUUUGAACAGCACCAUUCAACCAAUCUGAGGCCUUGACUUGCUUGUAAGAUGAUUCUCAGAGAUCGGCUGAGUUAAAAAAGAUGACGACUUGAUUACCAAAGAAAGUAGGGCCAACUUUGACAAAUCUGGCUCUGCUGACCCUGUCACUCCCAGAUGUAGCAUAGACUCCUAAACAGAACCUCAAGUCUGAUUGAGGAUAAGGCCUUCUCCUGAGCUGAAAGUUCUUUGGCAGAUGAGCAAGAAACUGAAAGCUGAUGUACCUGACUGGCUCUGUAAGAUCAGAAAACUGUAUCCAGAAUAAGCCCUAUGGAUUAACCCCUGAGUACCCAGAGUAAAAACUAAUUUACAGAACUUCCUUAUUGAUCUGCUGGUUCUUCCAGAUCAUAUUCUGGCUAUUGGUAUGGCUGGCCUUUCUGAAGGUACCCUGCUUGUCUAUUUUCCUGACUCAGCUCUUGCCUGCCUUUUUCACAUGUUGCUGCAAUUAGACUCACCGUGAGGACUACAGUCAAUUUCAGUCUAUCUUGUGCCCAAUACAACAAGGAUUUUUAAUAGUAACAACCCACACCUCACCCACUAGGACUCAAUGUUCACAACAGGAAGGACCAUUGCUGCAUACUCCUUGACCAGCAACUUUUUUGAAGAUAUUUUUAAGUGCAGAGUAGGCCUCUAUUCCUGUAUGUAAUUGUUCAUUUUCAGCACCUGGAACCUCAUCUAUCGGGUCUGGAAGGAAUACAGCAGUUCGAAAGCCGCGUCCAUUUCUCUCCUUCAGUAGUGCAGAAAUGAGUCCGAUUCACCAGUACACACAGAACUGUACCAGUUCAACCUAGCAAAAGAAGAAAAGUUUCCACUGUACUUAAAAUUUACAGCUGACUCAAAUUGCCUCACAGAAUUAUUUGAUGUAGAAGGCUAGUUGUCUUACUUCAGAUCAGCAGGACAGUUGGGCUCUCAGACUCAUGACCACUGAGUUUGCUUGUGUUGAAACUGUGGUUUCAUCCAACAUAUGCUAUUGGACAUGAUUAUUAUUCCAUUCAAAUGGAUUACAGACUUCUUGAGGACAGGACAAACUUAUCUCUCAUGGUGUUUUUUUAGAAUACUUUUAUAACCAAGGAAGAAACCAUGCCAGCUGUUACCAUUCAACUUCUUAAGCAGAGAUUAAGCUUUUUCAUAUCUGUUCUUAUCCUGGACAUCAGUAGUUUUUAAUUGCCCAGCAUCCGUUCCAUCUUGUAACAACUCCCUGAUGUUUCUUAAAACCACCUCUUCCUAUUUUCAGUCUGUGGUUUGGACAGUCUGACCCAACCUUGAGCUUUGUGGGUGAACAUGUAAUUCAGACCUCAUCAAUCAGCAAAUCCAUCUGAACUGUGGAGGAGAAGCUCUCUUUACUGAGGGUGCUUUAGCUUUGUAGGAUGAAAACCUCAAACUAACAGGGCCUACCAUGUAGAGAAUGAAGCCAGUGCAGGGGAAAGCAGAGCCAAAAUAUGGAGAGACUUGAAUCCUGAUGACAGCGUUUGUGCCCCUGGAUCCAACCGUGCCUGAAGCUAGAAUAUCCCCUGGACUUUUCAGUUAUGUGAACCAAUAAAUACCCUUUUUUGCUUAAGUUACUUUGAGUUGGGUUUCUGUUACUUGAAAUUGAAUCCACACUAAUAUAUCUACCAACAUUGAGACUUGACAGAUCCAAGUAUUUAUUAAGCUAGAGGUCAUGGUCACUGAAAUUACUUUCCAAAGUGGAAGACAAAAUGAAACAGGAACUGAGGGAAUAUUUAAGAUCCCACAGAAGCGUAAAAAUGACAUGGUAGAAAGUAAUAGAAAACCUAAAUGUCUGUCAUUAAAGGAUAGGUUAAGGUGUGGUUCAGCCAUAUAGGAAUAUCUCGUAUCUGUUAAAAUGAAUAAAGUACAUUCAUUGUGUAUGGAAAAAUGGCCAUGAUACAUUAGGUGAAACAAGUUAUUAAUAGAAAAGUGUACAGUGUGAACUCAUUUUAAAAUGUGUGUGCUUAUGUUUAUAAAUGCAUAGAAAGGUCUAUUCACAGCUUUCUUUGAACAGUGUAGAUCACAUGAAACUUUCAACUUUAUACAUUUCUGUAUUAAUAUUUUACACUACCCACAUUAUUUUUAAACUUUAUUUUAAAUAAAGAAUUUUUAAAAUUAAA